GACGAACGCUGGCGGCGUGCCUAAUACAUGCAAGUCGAGCGCAGGAAACUGACGGAACUCUUCGGAGGGAAGGCAGCGGAAUGAGCGGCGGACGGGUGAGUAACACGUAAGGAACCUGCCUCAAGGAUUGGGAUAACUCCGAGAAAUCGGAGCUAAUACCGGAUAGUUCAUCGGACCGAAUGGUACGCUGAUGAAAGGCGCUCCGGCGUCACCUUGAGAUGGCCUUGCGGUGCAUUAGCUAGUUGGUGGGGUAACGGCCCACCAAGGAGACGAUGCAUAGCCGCCCUGAGAGGGUGAUCGGCCACACUGGGACUGAGACACGGCCCGGACUCCUACGGGAGGCAGCAGUAGGGAAUCUUCCACAAUGGACGAAAGUCUGAUGGAGCAACGCCGCGUGAGUGAUGAAGGUUUUCGGAUCGUAAAGCUCUGUUGUAAGGGAAGAACACGUACGAGAGGGAAUGCUCGUACCUUGACGGUACCUUACGAGAAAGCCACGGCUAACUACGUGCCAGCCGCCGCCGUAA
rnacentral:rRNA from 1 species